AUAUAUAUAUAUAUAUAUAAACUAACCUUCAUGUCGAGAACGCUUCGCAGGAAUUCACUGUUUCAUGCCAUGCUAACUUAUUUGUUGGCAGGAAUUUCUAGUUGAAGUCUAAUUUUAUAUCUAUGACCAAAUUGACAAGGUCCAUUUCUAUAGCUAUUGAUCGAUGUAGAUGAAAUUGAAGCUGAUCUAUGUAGAAGAAAUUGAAGCACAUUCUUCCAAUGUAAACAGUAUGAAACUCAAGAAUCGUCCAUCUUUGCUAUAAGCAGUAUAUGGUCUAUCCUUCUCUGUUGCUUGGAUUUAAUUCUUUUUUAAUUAAAACAAGAAAGGGAAAAAAGAAAGGAAAUAUAAUAGCAUAAAUAGCAGGGAUUCAGAAUGAAUAGGAGUUAAAUAUUUGAUCAAAGAUCAUUUUUUUUCUUAGAAAGAAAGGAUCGAGUAAUAAAAAUAGAAAAAAAAAAAAAU
rnacentral:misc_RNA from 1 species